rnacentral:rRNA from 1 species
CCUACGGGAGGCAGCAGUGAGGAAUAUUGGUCAAUGGGCGGAAGCCUGAACCAGCCAAGUCGCGUGAGGGAUUAAGGCCCUGCGGGUCGUAAACCUCUUUUGCCGGGGAGCAGAGGUCCGGACGUGUCCGGGCCGGGAGAGUACCCGGAGAAAAAGCAUCGGCUAACCCCGUGCCAGCAGCCGCGGUAAUACGGAGGAUGCGAGCGUUAUCCGGAUUUAUGGGGUUUAAAGGGUGCGUAGGCGGGAAUUAAGCCGGGGGGAAAAUGUCGGGGGUCAACCCCGGCCUGGCGUCGGAAAUGGGUGCCUUGAGUGGGCGAGAAGUAUGCGGAAUGCGUGGUGUAGCGGUGAAAUGCAUAGAUAUCACGCAGAACCCCGAUUGCGAAGGCAGCAUACCGGCGCCCUACUGACGCUGAGGCACGAAAGUGCGGGUAUCAAACAGGAUUAGAUACCCUAGUAGUC